rnacentral:rRNA from 1 species
GACGGAAGGUGCAAGCGUUGCUCGGAAUCACUGGGCGUAAAGGGUGCGUAGGCGGCUUGGUGGGUCUGGUGUGAAAGCCCCGAGCUUAACUUGGGAAUUGCGCUUGUGACUGGCGUGCUGGAGUGUGGCAGAGGGAGGUGGAAUUCCACGUGUAGCAGUGAAAUGCGUAGAGAUGUGGAGGAACACCGAUGGCGAAGGCAGCCUCCUGGGCCAGCACUGACGCUCAUGCACGAAAGCGUGGGGAGCAAACAGG